GAUGAACGCUGGCGGCGUGCCUAAUACAUGCAAGUCGAGCGAACAGACGAGGAGCUUGCUCCUCUGACGUUAGCGGCGGACGGGUGAGUAACACGUGGAUAACCUACCUAUAAGACUGGGAUAACUUCGGGAAACCGGAGCUAAUACCGGAUAAUAUAUUGAACCGCAUGGUUCAAUAGUGAAAGACGGUUUUGCUGUCACUUAUAGAUGGAUCCGCGCCGCAUUAGCUAGUUGGUAAGGUAACGGCUUACCAAGGCAACGAUGCGUAGCCGACCUGAGAGGGUGAUCGGCCACACUGGAACUGAGACACGGUCCAGACUCCUACGGGAGGCAGCAGUAGGGAAUCUUCCGCAAUGGGCGAAAGCCUGACGGAGCAACGCCGCAUGAGUGAUGAAGGUCUUCGAAUCGUAAAACUCUGUUAUUAGGGAAGAACAAAUGUGUAAGUAACUAUGCACGUCUUGACGGUACCUAAUCAGAAAGCCACGGCUAACUACGUG
rnacentral:rRNA from 1 species